UACAGAGAGUGCAAACGUUGUUCGGAAUCACUGGGCGUAAAGCGCACGUAGGCGGAUUUGUCAGUCAGGGGUGAAAUCCCGGGGCUCAACCUCGGAACUGCCUUUGAUACAGCAAGUCUUGAGUUCGAGAGAGGUGGGUGGAAUUCCUAGUGUAGAGGUGAAAUUCGUAGAUAUUAGGAAGAACACCGGUGGCGAAGGCGGCCCACUGGCUCGAUACUGACGCUGAGGUGCGAAAGCGUGGGGAGCAAACAGG
rnacentral:rRNA from 1 species